GCCUGGCUGGCUUAGUCAGUAGAGCAAGUGACUCUUCAUCUCAGGAUCGUGAGUUCAAGCCCCACACUGGGCG
rnacentral:tRNA from 1 species